UACGGAGGGUGCAAGCGUUAAUCGGAAUUACUGGGCGUAAAGCGCACGCAGGUGGCUGAGUCAGUCGAUUGUGAAAGCCCUGGGCUUAACCUGGGAAUUGCAGUCGAUACUACUCAGCUAGAGUAUGGGAGAGGGCAGUGGAAUUCCCGGUGUAGCGGUGAAAUGCGUAGAUAUUGGGAGGAACACCAGUGGCGAAGGCGGCUCACUGGACCGGUACUGACGCUGAUGCGCGAAAGCGUGGGGAGCAAACGGG
rnacentral:rRNA from 1 species